GACGGUCGUACCAUGCUGAAUAUAUCGGUUCUCGUUAGAUCACCGAAGUCAAGCUUGGGUGGUCAGUACUUGGGUGGGUGACCACCUGGGAACACCGCGUGCCGUU